UGUGUACUUCCUCCGUCCGAAAAAGCUUGUCGCAAACUUGUCCCUCGAAUUGAUGUAUCUAGCACUAAGUUAGUGCUAGAUACAUCCAUUUGAAGGACAAGCUUUUUCGGACGGAGGGAGUAUGUA
rfam:Triticum aestivum genome assembly, contig: Triticum_aestivum_CS42_TGACv1_scaffold_433028_5DL